GAAAGGGAAUGAACAGUAAUUUGAAAACGUGUACGCGCUUUAGUUGUGGUUAACUGCGGUGUCUGGGCUUCAGUGGUUUGCUACGUGUUAUCUCCCUCAUACCACCACCGUAUCUUUCAUCUUGAAACCGCACCGCGUGUCCUACAUGAAGCCACCAGCUCUACUCCUGUUACUCAACACAUGCUUCCUGCUUCACUUUCCUGACCUAAAUUGAUCCGUCAACAAACCGGGUGCCCUAAUCGACCCCUCGAGAAACCCAUAGACCCCUGAAUAGCGUAGCUCGGAGCAAUCCGACCAUUGAUCAUGAUGCUUGAUUCGGAAUCGGCACUGAUGCGGUUAGACACAUUGUUACAAGCAAGUCUUCAUCUUGAACCACAACAUCACAAUUGCAUUGAUAGUUGUACGGAACAAGCAUUUUAUAGCAUUAUAUAUUGGCAUUCUGAAAUUGGUUCGGAAGACGUUGAGAUGUAGCUACUUGUAUCAGGAUUCUGAUAGAAUAUAAAUUGGUAUUUGCUCUUUUUUUUUCUUAUUCGGUUUUCUUGCUUUCGUUAAGAGUAUGAGGUUUGAUUUUAUGUUAAUCUGAUAUGGUCAUCUGAAGUA